CGUGUGUCAGGUGAUGUGCCUGAUCACGUAAGACAUUCUAUAACACAAUAACAGAGAGAAUAACUAGUUCUUGAAAGGAAAAAGGGUUAAGUGUACAGAGUUUAGACGGAUAGAAGGGCACCAGACUGGGAACCCGAGUAGGAGGGUUCACUCCCGUUGACGGGUGAGCGCUUGACAACAGUCCGAGAGCAAAUGUUUUGAUGGGCCAGUGCAGACACCGCCGGAACACGCAAUCAGCUUGCCCAGACUCCAGCUGUAAGCAAGCGCGACUUAAGAUGUGCUGCGCAUCCCUGGCUGUCUACAUACCAGAGACUCACAGAAUCCCUGAAGGGAUGGGACAGACGUUGACAAGUGCUUCCCAGUGGUGGUGGCAGGGGCAAUGCAACCUUGACUGAGACUCACAGACACAGAACAAAACCAUUUUGCCCCAGCUUAUCAGUUUUAUUUUUCAUAAUAAAAAUGCA